rnacentral:tRNA from 1 species
GCCUGGUUAGCUCAGUUGGUAGAGCCCUCCACCGCAAAUGGAGAGGUCCCUGGUUCGAUACCAGGACAGGGCG